rnacentral:rRNA from 1 species
AACCUCCGCAAUGUGAGAAAUCGCGACGGGGGGAUCCCAAGUGCCAUUCUUAACGGGAUGGCUUUUCAUUAGUGUAAAGAGCUUUUGGAAUAAGAGCUGGGCAAGACCGGUGCCAGCCGCCGCGGUAACACCGGCAGCUCUAGUGGUAGCAAUUUUUAUUGGGCCUAAAGCGUCCGUAGCCGGUUUAAUAAGUCUCUGGUGAAAUCCUGCAGCUUAACUGUGGGAAUUGCUGGAGAUACUAUUAGACUUGAGACCGGGAGAGGUUGGAGGUACUCCCAGGGUAGAGGUGAAAUUCUGUAAUCCUGGGAGGACCGCCUGUUGCGAAGGCGUCUAACUGGAACGGUUCUGACGGUGAGGGACGAAAGUUAGGGCGCGAACCGGAUUAGAUACCCGGGUAGUCCUAACUGUAAACGAUGCGGACUUGGUGUUGGGGUGGCUUUGAGCUGUCCCAGUGCCGAAGGGAAGCUGUUAAGUCCGCCGCCUGGGAAGUACGGUCGCAAGACUGAAACUUAAAGGAAUU